CACGUAGGGCGCAAGCGUUGUCCGGAAUUAUUGGGCGUAAAGAGCUCGUAGGCGGUCUGUUACGUCUGCUGUGAAAACCCGGGGCUUAACCCUGGGCUUGCAGUGGAUACGGGCAGACUAGAGGCAGGUAGGGGAGAAUGGAAUUCCCGGUGUAGCGGUGAAAUGCGCAGAUAUCAGGAGGAACACCGGUGGCGAAGGCGGAUCUCUGGGCCUGUCCUGACGCUCAGGCGCGAAAGCUAGGGGAGUAAACAGG
rnacentral:rRNA from 1 species